GUUCCCUUAGCGCAAGGGGUAGCGUGUUGAAUUUUUAAUUCAAUGGUCGUGGGUUCGAAUGCCACCUGGGAUG